rnacentral:rRNA from 2 species
CCGGGGCGGGUACCGUCUACUAGCAGUCGAGCGGAUCUUCAUUAGCUAUGCUUUUGAAGAUCAGCGGCGGACGGGUGAGUAACACGUGGGCAACCUGCCUGUAAGACUGGGAUAACUUCGGGAAACCGGAGCUAAUACCGGAUAAUCCUUUCCCUCUCAUGAGGGAAAGCUGAAAGACGGUUUCGGCUGUCACUUACAGAUGGGCCCGCGGCGCAUUAGCUAGUUGGUGAGGUAACGGCUCACCAAGGCGACGAUGCGUAGCCGACCUGAGAGGGUGAUCGGCCACACUGGGACUGAGACACGGCCCAGACUCCUACGGGAGGCAGCAGUAGGGAAUCUUCCGCAAUGGACGAAAGUCUGACGGAGCAACGCCGCGUGAGCGAUGAAGGCCUUCGGGUCGUAAAGCUCUGUUGUCAGGGAAGAACAAGUACCGGAGUAACUGCCGGUACCUUGACGGUACCUGACCAGAAAGCCACGGCUAACUACGUGCCAGCAGCCGCGGUAAUACGUAGGUGGCAAGCGUUGUCCGGAAUUAUUGGGCGUAAAGCGCGCGCAGGCGGUUCCUUAAGUCUGAUGUGAAAGCCCCCGGCUCAACCGGGGAGGGUCAUUGGAAACUGGGGAACUUGAGUGCAGAAGAGGAGAGCGGAAUUCCACGUGUAGCGGUGAAAUGCGUAGAGAUGUGGAGGAACACCAGUGGCGAAGGCGGCUCUCUGGUCUGUAACUGACGCUGAGGCGCGAAAGCGUGGGGAGCGAACAGGAUUAGAUACCCUGGUAGUCCACGCCGUAAACGAUGAGUGCUA